rnacentral:misc_RNA from 1 species
UUUCCGUAGGUGAACCUGCGGAGGGAUCACUACAGGCUUGCAAAAGCUCUGAAACCACUGUUUAUCUACCUUAAUCUGCUUCCGCGGGCGGCCCCCGGGCGGGGCCGUAGCCGCAAGGCGCCCGCCGAAGACCCCCAAACUCUGUCGUAUUGAGAAUAUCUGAGCUAUUAUAUUAAACAAAAACAACUUUCAACAACGGAUCUCUUGGCUCUG